rnacentral:rRNA from 1 species
UACGAAGGGGGCUAGCGUUGUUCGGAAUUACUGGGCGUAAAGCGCGCGUAGGCGGUUUGUCGCGUCUGCCGUGAAAGUCCGGGGCUCAACUCCGGAUCUGCGGUGGGUACGGGCAGACUAGAGUGAUGUAGGGGAGACUGGAAUUCCUGGUGUAGCGGUGAAAUGCGCAGAUAUCAGGAGGAACACCGAUGGCGAAGGCAGGUCUCUGGGCAUUAACUGACGCUGAGGAGCGAAAGCAUGGGGAGCGAACAGG